rnacentral:lncRNA from 1 species
AAACGAUCCGCACGCGCGGGAUGCUGUGGCUGCCGCCCUGCCCCCCAGCAACCUGCGGCGGCGGAGUUGCCUGGACCUGCCGGGGCGGCUCCCCAGCACCCGGUGCCGGGUGACACGUGAACCCUGGUUACCACCUGGCCUGAGAGCAGAUGGCACGCCCGUUAGCCCUGGGAACAAGCCUGGAAGCCACACCAGCAGGCCUCUUGGAAAAGACUAUAGUCCAACUAAUCCAGCAAUGGUGGGCUAUGAACAGAAAGUCCAAGAAUCCAGAAGUUGCUCAGUUCACAAGAGUGGAUGUCUCAUCUGGUCUUCAGUAGACACUGGGAUUCUAAAGAAGUAGGCUCUAUGGACUAGCUAUCAAGAAAAUCAAAAGCUGUUGAUUCCUUCCAGACUAAUAUGGUUUGAUCAAGCAAGACCCCCCUGAAGCUGAGACGAUACAGCCUUACAGACUACAAAAACAAGGACUUGGUCAGGUUUCUAUGUUUUAUCAUGAUCCCUGUGGUAUAUAAACA